AACCAGGCCACAAAGAUGUUCCGGAAGAGGCGCCAGUCCACGGCCUUCCGGGAGCGGAUCCAGCCCACGGCCACCACCGAGCCCACCUGUGGGAGCACAGACAUUUCAAAGUGAAAAUGGAGGCCCGCAAAUAUAAAGAAAAACAGCAUCAUAAAUGUUGGAGCUGGAGAAGACCUUUGAGGAUAUCCAAUUCACAUCAUUCGUUUACAGAGGAUAAAACAGUUCCCGAGAGGAUCUGGGGGCACAAGGAGAGAGACACAGCGAGAGCAGGAACACAAGCAGGGGGAGUGGGAGAGGAAGAAGCAGGC